AACGAACGCUGGCGGCAGGCUUAACACAUGCAAGUCGAACGCCCCGCAAGGGGGGUGGCAGACGGGUGAGUAACGCGUGGGAAUCUACCCAUCCCUACGGAAUAACGCAUGGAAACGUGUGCUAAUACCGUAUACGCCCUACGGGGGUAAGACUUAUCGGGGAUGGAUGAGCCCGCGUUGGAUUAGCUAGUUGGUGGGGUAAAGGCCUACCAAGGCGACGAUCCAUAGCUGGUCUGAGAGGAUGAUCAGCCACAUUGGGGCUGAGACACGGCCCAGACUCCUACGGGAGGCAGCAGUGGGGGAUAUUGGACUAUCGGCGCAAGCCUGAUCCAGCCAGGCCGCGUGAGUGAUGAAGGCCGUAGAGUAGUAAAGCUCUUUCACCGGAGAAGAUAAUGACGGUAUCCGGAGAAGAAGCCCCGGCUAACUUCGUG
rnacentral:rRNA from 1 species